rnacentral:rRNA from 1 species
AGCGAACGCUGGCGGCAGGCCUAACACAUGCAAGUCGAACGAUCCUUCGGGAUAGUGGCGGACGGGUGAGUAACACGUGGGAACGUGCCCUUUGGUUCGGAACAACUCAGGGAAACUUGAGCUAAUACCGAAUGUGCCCUUCGGGGGAAAGAUUUAUCGCCAUUGGAGCGGCCCGCGUCUGAUUAGCUAGUUGGUGAGGUAACGGCUCACCAAGGCGACGAUCAGUAGCUGGUCUGGGAGGAUGAUCAGCCACACUGGGACUGAGACACGGCCCAGACUCCUACGGGAGGCAGCAGUGGGGAAUCUUGCGCAAUGGGCGAAAGCCUGACGCAGCCAUGCCGCGUGAAUGAUGAAGGUCUUAGGAUUGUAAAAUUCUUUCACCGGGGACGAUAAUGACGGUACCCGGAGAAGAAGCUCCGGCUAACUUCGUGCCAGCAGCCGCCGUAACAC